rnacentral:rRNA from 1 species
AUUGAACGCUGGCGGCAGGCCUAACACAUGCAAGUCGAACGAGUGGCGGACGGGUGAGUAAUGUCUGGGAAACUGCCCGAUGGAGGGGGAUAACUACUGGAAACGUUAGCUAAUACCGCAUACCAUCGGAUGUGCCCAGAUUGGAUUAGCUAGUAGGUGGGGUAACGGCUCACCUAGGCGACGAUCCCUAGCUGGUCUGAGAGGAUGACCAUCGACUCUGGAACUGAGACACGGUCCAGACUCCUACGGGAGGCAGCAGUGGGGAAUAUUGCACCAUGGGCGCAAGCCUGGUGCAGUCAUGCCGCGUGUAUGAGGAAGGCCUUCGGGUUGUAAAGUACUUUCAGCGAGGAGGCGUUACUCGCAGAAGAAGCAUCGGCUAACUCCGUGCCAGCAGCCGCGGUAAUUC